GUCCUCUGGGUACCGUAUUUUGGUAGUGUACAAGACUCUUAAUCUCAGGGUUGUGGGUUUGAGCCCCACAUUGGACA